rnacentral:tRNA from 2 species
GGAGGAGUACCCAAGUCUGGCUGAAGGGACCGGUCUUGAAAACCGACAGGCGGGUCAAACCGCGCGGGGGUUCGAAUCCCUCCUCCUCCG